rnacentral:rRNA from 1 species
GACGAACGCUGGCGGCGUGCUUAACACAUGCAAGUCGAACGGAAAGGCCCUGCUUUUGUGGGGUGCUCGAGUGGCGAACGGGUGAGUAACACGUGAGUAACCUUCCCUUUACUUUGGGAUAACUUCAGGAAACUGGGGCUAAUACCGGAUAGGCGCUCCUGCUGCAUGGUGGGGGUUGGAAAGUUUCGGCGGUUGGGGAUGGACUCCCGGCUUAUCGGCUUGUUGGUGGGGUAGUGGCUUACCAUGGCUUUGACGGGUGGCCGGCCGGGGGGGGGGACCGGCAAAAUUGGGACGGAGAUACGGCCAAGCUUCCUACGGGAGGCAGCAGGGGGGAAUAUUGCAAAAUGGGCGGAAGCCUGAUGCAGCACGGCCGGUGGCGGGAUGACGGCCUUCGGGUGGUAAACGGCUUUCGCAGGUGACGAAGCGUGAGUGACGGUAAUGGGUAAAGAAGCACCGGCUAACUACGUG